rnacentral:rRNA from 1 species
GUUAGGAAUAUUGGACAAUGGGCGAAAGCCUGAUCCAGCCAUGCCGCGUGAACGAUGAAGGCCUUCGGGGUGUAAAGUUCUUUAGCCGAUGAUUAUAAUGACUGUAGUCGGAAAAUAAGCCCCGGCUAACUUCGUGCCAGCAGCCGCGGUAAUACGAAGGGGGCGAGCGUUAUUCGGAAUCACUGGGCGUAAAGCGUGCGUAGGCGGUUUUGUAAGUUAGGAGUGAAAGCCCAGGGCUCAACCUUGGAAUUGCUCUUAAAACUGCAAGGCUCGAAUCUCGGAGAGGAUAGCGGAAUUUCCAGUGUAGCAGUGAAAUGCGUAGAUAUUGGAAGGAACACCAGUGGCGUAAGCGGCUAUCUGGACGAGUAUUGACGCUGAGGCACGAAAGCGUGGGGAUCAAACAGGAUUAGAUACCCUGGUAGUCC